GUAGGGAAUCUUCGGCAAUGGGGGCAACCCUGACCGAGCAACGCCGCGUGAGUGAAGAAGGUUUUCGGAUCGUAAAGCUCUGUUGUAAGUCAAGAACGAGUGUGAGAGUGGAAAGUUCACACUGUGACGGUAGCUUACCAGAAAGGGACGGCUAACUACGUGCUAGCAGCCGCGGUAAUACGUAGGUCCCGAGCGUUGUCCGGAUUUAUUGGGCGUAAAGCGAGCGCAGGCGGUUUGAUAAGUCUGAAGUUAAAGGCUGUGGCUCAACCAUAGUUCGCUUUGGAAACUGUCAAACUUGAGUGCAGAAGGGGAGAGUGGAAUUCCAUGUGUAGCGGUGAAAUGCGUAGAUAUAUGGAGGAACACCGGUGGCGAAAGCGGCUCUCUGGUCUGUAACUGACGCUGAGGCUCGAAAGCGUGGGGAGCGAACAGGAUUAGAUACCCUGGUAGUCCACGCCGUAAACGAUGAGUGCUAGGUGUUGGAUCCUUUCCGGGAUUCAGUGCCGCAGCUAACGCAUUAAAGCACUCCGCCUGGGGAGUACGACCGCAAGGUUG
rnacentral:rRNA from 1 species